UACCAUGGCUUAUAUAAAGCAGACCACCUGCAAAUCAACGAUGGUAAAGAACCUAGGAAGCAACUGGCUACAAAAGUGAACCCUCUAUGGGAGGAAGAAAGAAACCUCAUAGUUACAGGCCUGGUACUGUGGCACUCCGUGAAAUUUGUUAUCAGAAGUCCACUGAACUUCUGAUUAGCAAAUUUCUCUUCCAGCAUCUGGUCCAAGAAAUUGCUCAGAACUUCAAAACAUCUGUGCUUCCUGAGAGCAGCUAUUGGAGCUUUGCAGGAAGUGAGACCUAUCUGGUUGACCUUUUUGAGGACAUCAACCUGUGUGCUAUCCAUGUAAAACAUGUAACAGGUAUGCCAAUAAACA
rnacentral:lncRNA from 1 species